GACAAGGGUUUGCCGGGAGGAAAAGCUUAGCAGAGAGAAGACUGGGGACCAGGGGACUCGCUCGGGUCCAGCAGGCGGGCUCGGGUCAUUUCCAUAAGAAAGCCGCAACCCAGCUGGAGGCUGAGGCUCUCCCGGGCCUCCCUGCCCCCACCGCCGGUGGCUGCCCGACUUCGGCUCCUCUGGAGCCCAGAUUCAGGCAAGCUACGCGGUGGGGGUUGACAUUGCUGAGACGUGGCUUCCCGCACUGCCCAACUGGGGAUCCGUUUCUAGUCUGGAGGGAGUGGACCUACCGCACCGGUAAAGUUCGUUGCUACUUCUGGUAAGUAAAGGAACCUUGAUUUCAGAUCCUGUCAAGUUCUGCAGAGUGUCAUUGAUGAUGGUGGUUACAACCGACUUGAUUUGGAAGUGGACUUGGGGCAAGAGCAUUGGGAGUGUUCGUGCAACGAAAUUGAAGUCUGUCUUGCUCAAGACAUCUGCCCAGCACCUCAGCUCCUGGGUGGAAGCCCAUAACACCAGGGUGCAUCUGGUUCCGAUGUACCUGCCAGGUUGCCAGGGUGAUAUGGGCAUAGAUGCCUAGGCUGUGUGGCCCACCCUUGACCUGCUUGGGAUUAACAGGUCCUCUCUCAGCAGCACUAAAGCUUUUGAUUAUUUUGGAGCUCUGGGUGGCCUCUUCCCUUAAGUGAAGCCCAUGGACCCCCUCCUCACUUCUGUUAUGUCAGAGUUAAUUGCCGGGCAGUGGGGUGUCGCUCAUGGUGGGAUGGCCAAAAAAUACUGCAGGCAAGGACAGUAACCUCAGCAGGCAACAGAAAAUUUGACAAGACAGUUUCAUGAACUACAUUGGACUGAUCAGCCAAAAUGCGUCUCAUUUGUAUUUGGAUACAGCCAAGGGUGGAGUCCACGUCAGUCACUGCCUCCUGAAAUCUCACCAAGACUUUCUCCCUGGCAGAAAUGUCUAGAAAAUCCUGCUGAGGCCAUUCCUGGGGUGGCUCAGCACUGCCCAGGCCUGUGAGAAAAGAAAGAGGAUCUUUUCCUAGAGUUGUAUCUUCAGCACCUACCUUGUCGUGUAAGGAGUAACAUCUGUGGCAUUUUUGUACCUGCUCCUGGCCUUGAACUCCAGCUCUGAAGGCCUCAUUAUCUGCUUGUUGUGCGCUGAGCUGCUCUGUGGUUCCUAAAGAGAUGCUGCAGCUACCGACUUGGAGGCGGAUUUCAGUCCUGCAAGUCUCUCGCUGUGCUGCGAAAGCAAUAGCCAAGUAAUGGGCUUAAUGGCUUGGAGAUGCCUACGGUCCAGCUCAUGGCCUUUCUACCUGCACACCACACAGUCACUUGGAGAAAAUCAAGUGUAUGUACCUCUCCCUGCCGAUGGUGUAUCUGUAAGUGUGCAAAGUUCAAGCCAAUGAUCCGGGAUCCACCUUCUGCUGAGAGCCUGUCCUGGGGGGCACAUCAUUCCUGAGCUCCUGGACAUGCUUCAACAAAAUAUCUCUUGUUCAUUAAAAAGAAAACAAAGAAAGAAAGAAAGAAAGAAAGGAAGGAAGGAAAAAGAAUUAAAAGAUGCUUGUG